rnacentral:RNase_P_RNA from 3 species
GAAGCUGACCAGACAGUCGCCGCUUCGUCGUCGUCCUUUCGGGGAGACGGGCGGAGGGGAGGAAAGUCCGGGCUCCAUAGGGCAGGGUGCCAGGUAACGCCUGGGGGGGGAAACCCACGACCAGUGCAACAGAGAGCAAACCGCCGAUGGCCCACGUAAGUGGGAUCAGGUAAGGGUGAAAGGGUGCGGUAAGAGCGCACCGCGCGGCUGGUAACAGUCCGUGGCACGGUAAACUCCACCCGGAGCAAGGCCAAAUAGGGGUUCAUAAGGUACGGCCCGUACUGAACCCGGGUAGGCUGCUUGAGCCAGUGAGCGAUUGCUGGCCUAGAUGAAUGACUGUCCACGACAGAACCCGGCUUAUCGGUCAGUUUCACCU